rnacentral:rRNA from 1 species
GUGGGGAAUAUUGGACAAUGGGGGGAACCCUGAUCCAGCCAUGCCGCGUGUGUGAAGAAGGCCUUUUGGUUGUAAAGCACUUUAAGCGAGGAGGAGGCUACCGAGAUUAAUACUCUUGGAUAGUGGACGUUACUCGCAGAAUAAGCACCGGCUAACUCUGUGCCAGCAGCCGCGGUAAUACAGAGGGUGCAAGCGUUAAUCGGAUUUACUGGGCGUAAAGCGCGCGUAGGUGGCCAAUUAAGUCAAAUGUGAAAUCCCCGAGCUUAACUUGGGAAUUGCAUUCGAUACUGGUUGGCUAGAGUAUGGGAGAGGAUGGUAGAAUUCCAGGUGUAGCGGUGAAAUGCGUAGAGAUCUGGAGGAAUACCGAUGGCGAAGGCAGCCAUCUGGCCUAAUACUGACACUGAGGUGCGAAAGCAUGGGGAGCAAACAGGAUUAGAUAUCCUUGUAGUCC